rnacentral:rRNA from 1 species
UACGUAGGGGGGCAAGCGUUGUCCGGAAUCAUUGGGCGUAAAGAGCGUGUAGGCGGUCCGGUAAGUCGGCUGUGAAAGUCCAGGGCUCAACCCUGGGAUGCCGGUCGAUACUGCCGGACUAGAGUUCGGAAGAGGCGAGUGGAAUUCCCGGUGUAGCGGUGAAAUGCGCAGAUAUCGGGGAGGAACACCUAUGGCGAAGGCAGCUCGCUGGGACGUUACUGACGCUGGAGACGCGAAAGCGUGGGGAGCAAACAGG